UACGGAGGGUGCAAGCGUUAUCCGGAUUCACUGGGUUUAAAGGGUGCGUAGGCGGGCAGGUAAGUCCGUGGUGAAAUCUCUGAGCUUAACUCAGAAACUGCCAUGGAUACUAUUUGUCUUGAAUAUUGUGGAGGUAAGCGGAAUAUGUCAUGUAGCGGUGAAAUGCUUAGAUAUGACAUAGAACACCAAUUGCGAAGGCAGCUUACUACAGGGACAUUGACACUGAGGCACGAAAGCGUGGGGAUCAAACAGG
rnacentral:rRNA from 1 species